rnacentral:rRNA from 1 species
UGAAGAGUUUGAUCAUGGCUCAGAUUGAACGCUGGCGGCAGGCUUAACACAUGCAAGUCGAGCGGAGUGAUGGUGCUUGCACCAUCACUUAGCGGCGGACGGGUGAGUAAUGCUUAGGAAUCUGCCUAUUAGUGGGGGACAACAUUUCGAAAGGAAUGCUAAUACCGCAUACGUCCUACGGGAGAAAGCAGGGGAUCUUCGGACCUUGUGCUAAUAGAUGAGCCUAAGUCGGAUUAGCUAGUUGGUGGGGUAAAGGCCUACCAAGGCGACGAUCUGUAGCGGGUCUGAGAGGAUGAUCCGCCACACUGGGACUGAGACACGGCCCAGACUCCUACGGGAGGCAGCAGUGGGGAAUAUUGGACAAUGGGCGCAAGCCUGAUCCAGCCAUGCCGCGUGUGUGAAGAAGGCCUUAUGGUUGUAAAGCACUUUAAGCGAGGAGGAGGCUACUGAAGUUAAUACCUUCAGAUAGUGGACGUUACUCGCAGAAUAAGCACCGGCUAACUCUGUGCCAGCAGCCGCGGUAAUACAGAGGGUGCAAGCGUUAAUCGGAUUUACUGGGCGUAAAGCGCGCGUAGGCGGCUAAUUAAGUCAAAUGUGAAAUCCCCGAGCUUAACUUGGGAAUUGCAUUCGAUACUGGUUAGCUAGAGUGUGGGAGAGGAUGGUAGAAUUCCAGGUGUAGCGGUGAAAUGCGUAGAGAUCUGGAGGAAUACCGAUGGCGAAGGCAGCCAUCUGGCCUAACACUGACGCUGAGGUGCGAAAGCAUGGGGAGCAAACAGGAUUAGAUACCCUGGUAGUCCAUGCCGUAAACGAUGUCUACUAGCCGUUGGGGCCUUUGAGGCUUUAGUGGCGCAGCUAACGCGAUAAGUAGACCGCCUGGGGAGUACGGUCGCAAGACUAAAACUCAAAUGAAUUGACGGGGGCCCGCACAAGCGGUGGAGCAUGUGGUUUAAUUCGAUGCAACGCGAAGAACCUUACCUGGCCUUGACAUAGUAAGAACUUUCCAGAGAUGGAUUGGUGCCUUCGGGAACUUACAUACAGGUGCUGCAUGGCUGUCGUCAGCUCGUGUCGUGAGAUGUUGGGUUAAGUCCCGCAACGAGCGCAACCCUUUUCCUUAUUUGCCAGCGAGUAAUGUCGGGAACUUUAAGGAUACUGCCAGUGACAAACUGGAGGAAGGCGGGGACGACGUCAAGUCAUCAUGGCCCUUACGGCCAGGGCUACACACGUGCUACAAUGGUCGGUACAAAGGGUUGCUACCUAGCGAUAGGAUGCUAAUCUCAAAAAGCCGAUCGUAGUCCGGAUUGGAGUCUGCAACUCGACUCCAUGAAGUCGGAAUCGCUAGUAAUCGCGGAUCAGAAUGCCGCGGUGAAUACGUUCCCGGGCCUUGUACACACCGCCCGUCACACCAUGGGAGUUUGUUGCACCAGAAGUAGGUAGUCUAACCGCAAGGAGGACGCUUACCACGGUGUGGCCGAUGACUGGGGUGAAGUCGUAACAAGGUAGCCGUAGGGGAACCUGCGGCUGGAUCACCUCCUU